AGCGUAGGCGGGAAUGCAAGUUGAAUGUUAAAUCUAUCGGCUCAACCGGUAGCUGCGUUCAAAACUGCAUUUCUUGAGUGAAGUAGAGGUUGGCGGAAUUCCUAGUGUAGCGGUGAAAUGCGUAGAUAUUAGGAGGAACACCAGUGGCGAAGGCGGCCAACUGGGCUUUUACUGACGCUGAGGCUCGAAAGCGUGGGGAGCAAACA
rnacentral:rRNA from 1 species